rnacentral:rRNA from 1 species
UACGAAGGGGGCUAGCGUUGUUCGGAAUUACUGGGCGUAAAGCGCGCGCAGGCGGUCUUCCAAGUCAGUGGUGAAAGCCUGGAGCUCAACUCCAGAACUGCCAUUGAAACUGUUAGACUUGAGUACGAGAGAGGUGAGUGGAAUUCCCAGUGUAGAGGUGAAAUUCGUAGAUAUUGGGAAGAACACCGGUGGCGAAGGCGGCUAUCUGGACCGUAACUGACGCUGAGGCGCGAAAGCGUGGGGAGCAAACAGG